rfam:Candida tropicalis MYA-3404 genomic scaffold supercont3.4, whole genome shotgun sequence.
GGCGGCAUGACCCGAGUGGUUAAAGAUGAAAGAUUAGAAAUCUUUUGAGCUAUGCCCGCGCAGGUUCGAGUCCUGCUGCCGUCG